GGGGAUGUAGCUCAGAGGUAGAGCGUGUGCUUCGCAUGUACAAGGUCCUGGGUUCAAUCCCCAGCAUCUCCA
rnacentral:tRNA from 1 species